AUCCAGCUGACGAGUACCAUGAUGGGACGAAACGCACGUCCUAGAU
rfam:Schistosoma curassoni strain Dakar, Senegal genome assembly, scaffold: SCTD_scaffold0002104